rnacentral:lncRNA from 1 species
GUCGCAAGUCCAGGAGUUUGCUGGAAGUCCGCAGGAGGAUCACCGAGGGUUCGUCGGAUGAUCGACGGAAGUUCGCCGGAAACUCGCCGGAAGAAGCGAUUGACGCACCGGAGAAAGCUGCAGAAUAUGUCUUAGGAAAUAAUCGUAGUUAGCACAUUGAUUAAGUUAGAAAUGGGAGGUGAUCCCAUUAGCUUAAUCUUGGGGCAAUUGG